GAGUUUGAUCCUGGCUCAGAUUGAACGCUGGCGGCAGGCCUAACACAUGCAAGUCGAGCGGAUGAAGGGAGCUUGCUCUCUGAUUCAGCGGCGGACGGGUGAGUAAUGCCUAGGAAUCUGCCUGGUAGUGGGGGACAACGUUCCGAAAGGGACGCUAAUACCGCAUACGUCCUACGGGAGAAAGUGGGGGAUCUUCGGACCUCACGCUAUCAGAUGAGCCUAGGUCGGAUUAGCUAGUAGGUGGGGUAAUGGCUCACCUAGGCGACGAUCCGUAACUGGUCUGAGAGGAUGAUCAGUCACACUGGAACUGAGACACGGUCCAGACUCCUACGGGAGGCAGCAGUGGGGAAUAUUGGACAAUGGGCGAAAGCCUGAUCCAGCCAUGCCGCGUGUGUGAAGAAGGUCUUCGGAUUGUAAAGCACUUUAAGUUGGGAGGAAGGGCUGCAAGUUAAUACCUUGUAGUUUUGACGUUACCAACAGAAUAAGCACCGGCUAACUUCGUGCCAGCAGCCGCGGUAAUACGAAGGG
rnacentral:rRNA from 1 species